AAACUUUUCAAAACCAAAACAAACAUUUUGCUCAUAACUUGAUUAUAUCUUUAUUUAUCUAAAUACGAGAUUUCAAAGCUCCAAAUGGCUUUAAGCGGUCAAGUGGACUUUAAAAAAAGUUGUACCCCUAACCAACGGCAUUCUACUUGUCCUGUGUUUUAGUUUGGUUCCAAAACUAUCGAAAUGUCUCGCAACGCACUGCCUUCGUUGAGUCAGCUGGAAGAGCUAGUAAGCUUUUAGGAAAACAAACCAUGUUUGAUUAUGAUGGGCCCAUGAUCGUACCGCAAAUGCGAGCAGUCAUCAGGCACGAUCCGAAAACAACAGCCCCAAACAGUGACGUAGUGGGUGUAUGAAAAUAUUGGAGCAGUGGUGUAAGUACUGGAAGGACAAAAAGGAGCAGUUCAGAGGAAGUCCAGUUCAAUUGCAGCUGCGAGGCAACAUGAAGAAUUUGCCAGAACUCGGUGUAAUUGAGUUAAAAAUACAUUUCAUUAUGUGAGGAGAAUGUUUUGGAAUCUGAAUUUUGAUAAAUAAAUUCAUGUUCAUUAUAAAAUACAAAAUAAUAAAAAGACAUGUUGAAUUAAAA
rnacentral:lncRNA from 1 species